rnacentral:rRNA from 1 species
AGAGUUUGAUCCUGGCUCAGGAUGAACGCUGGCGGCAUGCCUAAUACAUGCAAGUCGAACGAGAGGAAGGAGAGCUUGCUUUCCUGAAUCUAGUGGCGAACGGGUGAGUAACACGUAGGUAACCUGCCCAUGUGCCCGGGAUAACUUCUGGAAACGGAUGCUAAAACCGGAUAGGUAGCAGACAAGCAUUUGACUGCUAUUAAAGUGGCUAAGGCCAUGAACAUGGAUGGACCUGCGGUGCAUUAGCUAGUUGGUGAGGUAACGGCCCACCAAGGCGACGAUGCAUAGCCGGCCUGAGAGGGCGGACGGCCACAUUGGGACUGAGACACGGCCCAAACUCCUACGGGAGGCAGCAGUAGGGAAUUUUCGUCAAUGGGGGGAACCCUGAACGAGCAAUGCCGCGUGAGUGAAGAAGGUCUUCGGAUCGUAAAGCUCUGUUGUAAGAGAAAAACGACAUUCAUAGGGAAUGAUGAGUGAGUGAUGGUAUCUUACCAGAAAGUCACGGCUAACUACGUGCCAGCAGCCGCGGUAAUACGUAGGUGGCGAGCGUUAUCCGGAAUUAUUGGGCGUAAAGAGGGAGCAGGCGGCACUAAGGGUCUGUGGUGAAAGAUCGAAGCUUAACUUCGGUAAGCCAUGGAAACCGUAGAGCUAGAGUGUGUGAGAGGAUCGUGGAAUUCCAUGUGUAGCGGUGAAAUGCGUAGAUAUAUGGAGGAACACCAGUGGCGAAGGCGACGAUCUGGCGCAUAACUGACGCUCAGUCCCGAAAGCGUGGGGAGCAAAUAGGAUUAGAUACCCUAGUAGUCCACGCCGUAAACGAUGAGUACUAAGUGUUGGGUGUCAAAGCUCAGUGCUGCAGUUAACGCAAUAAGUACUCCGCCUGAGUAGUACGUUCGCAAGAAUGAAACUCAAAGGAAUUGACGGGGGCCCGCACAAGCGGUGGAGCAUGUGGUUUAAUUCGAAGCAACGCGAAGAACCUUA